rnacentral:rRNA from 1 species
CCUACGGGAGGCAGCAGUGGGGAAUUUUGGACAAUGGACGCAAGCCUGAUCCAGCCAUGCCGCGUGCGGGAAGAAGGCCUUCGGGUUGUAAACCGCUUUUGUCAGGGAAGAAACGCGCUGAGUUAAUACCUCGGCGUAAUGACGGUACCUGAAGAAUAAGCACCGGCUAACUACGUGCCAGCAGCCGCGGUAAUACGUAGGGUGCAAGCGUUAAUCGGAAUUACUGGGCGUAAAGCGUGCGCAGGCGGUGAUGCAAGACAGAUGUGAAAUCCCCGGGCUUAACCUGGGAACUGCAUUUGUGACUGCAUCGCUGGAGUGCGGCAGAGGGGGAUGGAAUUCCGCGUGUAGCAGUGAAAUGCGUAGAUAUGCGGAGGAACACCGAUGGCGAAGGCAAUCCCCUGGGCCUGCACUGACGCUCAUGCACGAAAGCGUGGGGAGCAAACAGGAUUAGAUACCCUGGUAGUCCACGCCCUAAACGAUGUCGACUGGUUGUUGGGGGUUUGACACUCUCAGUAACGAAGCUAACGCGUGAAGUCGACCGCCUGGGGAGUACGGCCGCAAGGUUAAAACUCAAAGGAAUUGACGG